rnacentral:lncRNA from 1 species
GUGUCCUCCAGACUCCUCCAGUGGACAAAUUUUCACAACGCCUUCCGAAUUCCGCUAUCAAGUCGACCUUCUGUCAGAUUCCUCAUGCAAUCGGACCUCUUCAGUGGACAGCCCUCAGACAAGCUUUUACAUCAGAUAAAUUCCAGACGAACUUCUCCAACAAUCGGACUCCUGUCGGAUUUCUCCAACAGGCAGUUCCCGUCCGAGCUUUUAUAGUAGAUGACUUCCGUCUGCAGCACCAACAGCACCCAACCACAGUUAACCCGUCAGCAACCUCAGAAACAUCCGAGCUUCUCUUAGAUUGCUGAGACAGAGAGAUAUUCCGCUCUACCAGAC